GAUGAACGCUAGCGGCAGGCCUAACACAUGCAAGUCGAGGGGUAGAGUUAGCUUGCUAACUUGAGACCGGCGCACGGGUGCGUAACGCGUAUGCAAUCUACCUUGUACAGGGGGAUAGCCCAGAGAAAUUUGGAUUAAUACCCCAUGGUGUUUAGAAGUGGCAUCACUUUUUUACUAAAGUUCCAACGGUACAAGAUGAGCAUGCGUCCCAUUAGCUAGUUGGUAUGGUAACGGCAUACCAAGGCUAUGAUGGGUAGGGGUCCUGAGAGGGAGAUCCCCCACACUGGUACUGAGACACGGACCAGACUCCUACGGGAGGCAGCAGUGAGGAAUAUUGGUCAAUGGUCGCAAGACUGAACCAGCCAUGCCGCGUGCAGGAAGACGGUCCUAUGGAUUGUAAACUGCUUUUAUACAGGAAGAAACCCUCUCACGUGUGGGAGCUUGACGGUACUGUAUGAAUAAGCAUCGGCUAACUCCGUGCCAGCCGCCGCUGUAACAC
rnacentral:rRNA from 1 species